CACGCCCUAAACGAUGUCUACUAGUUGUUGGUGGAGUAAAAUCCAUGAGUAACGCAGCUAACGCGUGAAGUAGACCGCCUGGGGAGUACGGUCGCAAGAUUAAAACUCAAAUGAAUUGACGGGGGCCCGCACAAGCGGUGGAUUAUGUGGAUUAAUUCGAUGCAACGCGAAAAACCUUACCUGGCCUUGACAUGUACCGAAUUUACCAGAGAUGGUUUAGUGCUCGAAAGAGAACGGUAACACAGGUGC
rnacentral:rRNA from 1 species